rnacentral:rRNA from 2 species
UGGGGAAUAUUGGACAAUGGGCGCAAGCCUGAUCCAGCCAUGCCGCGUGAGUGAUGAAGGCCUUAGGGUUGUAAAGCUCUUUCACCGGUGAAGAUAAUGACGGUAACCGGAGAAGAAGCCCCGGCUAACUUCGUG